GCUUGUUGCUCUUGCUUUUGUUUCCCACUGUAGCUAAGCAGGGUUGAGCCUGGCCAGUACCUGGAUGGUACACCUCCUGUGGAAGACUAAGGUUGCUACACACU
rnacentral:rRNA from 1 species